rnacentral:lncRNA from 1 species
UAUGGAUCCUGCUUGUGCGCCAGGUCCCUUAAAUCUUAGACAGCUGGUUUUCACUUCUGUGUGUAUAAAGGUGCAGGAUCCUGGGUGCUAUUCCCCUAUGGUUCGUCUGAGUCAUCCGAACAGUCGCACAGAUGCCAAAGCAACCACAAGCACGUUCACGGGGAGAGGAUUUGGGGAUGAAUUAACACAAGAUAACUUUUGUCAUCUGUCAUCCCUCCUCUUUGCGUUGGCUAAUUGCUGCAGUAGGGCCAGAGUUAAUGCCAGAUGUGAAGAUGUUUCAUUCUUACAGAUGUAA